rnacentral:rRNA from 1 species
GAGGGAAAGUUGAAAAGAACUUUGAAGAGAGAGUUCAAUAGGGCGUGAAACCGCUUAGAAGAAAACGGACGGAGCCGUCGGGAGCCUUCGGGAAUCAGUCAUACGAUACGCUAUUUUAUCGUAGUCUAGAACGCAAGUCUAGCUGCGGUACGUACGAGUAGCGUUCGUGCGGCGCAUUUCUCGAAGGUAAGCACUGCGACCGAUACAAUAGGCCGGCGAAGCGUUUAGAUUGAGGGCGAGUCCUCUUACGGGGACUCGUAACCAGUCUUUGCGUGCACGUCGGACCGCGUGUGUGUGUAUCGAGUGCCAGAGUCUCUUUAUAUAUGUCGGCGUAAACGCUCGUUCGAACGGUGCCAUAGUCGGCCAAUACGAUUGGUAUCUGCUCGCAGGUGCUAGUCUAUUCGGUUCGGCUAAGAAGCCGUCGACGACUUUCGACAUAUAGGCGUCAGCAGUGUCAGUGUCGGUCACCCGUCCGACCCGUCUUGAAACACGGACCAAGGAGUCUAACAUAUGCGCGAGCUAAUGGGUGGAAAACCCAAAGGCGCAAUAAAAGUAAACGCUGUUUCGGACAGCCGAGGUACGAUCCUAGGAUUCGAGCGAUCUUAGGCGCAGUACCGUCCCGUCCCGACCGCAUAUCGGUAGGGCGGAGAUAGAGUGCAUACGUUGGGACCCGAAAGAUGGUGAACUAUGCCUGAGCAGAGCGAAGCCAGAGGAAACUCUGGUGGAGGUUCGUAGCGGUUCUGACGUGCAAAUCGAUCGUCAGACUUGGGUAUAGGGGCGAAAGACUAAUCGAACCAUCUAGUAGCUGGUU